GAUUCUUCCCAAUUCUACCGCCAUCAUUCUGGUUCAAGCUACCUGUAGAGACGGGGUUUCACCAUGUUAGCCAGGAUGGUCUCGAUCUUCUGACCUCGUGAUCCAUCCGCCUCAGCCUUCCAAAGUGCUGGGAUUACAGACGUGAGCCACCGCGCCCGGCCAAAAGAUCCAUAAACUUUGAGUCACCAGAUAGAGCUAACAUUUACCACAGAGAGAUAAGGUCCUCUGGCUGGACUCAAACUCCUGGGCUCAAGCAAGCCUCCCACCUCAUCCUACAGAGUAGCUGGACCUAUAGGUAAAGCAUGCACAAAGCAAAUUUCGGUUGUAUCCUAGAAAUGAUAGCCAUAUUCAGGAUACUGGUUACACCUGAGGAAACAUCUCCAUGAAAGUUAAGCAUAUACAGGACCUCACUUUGUUACCCAGGCUAGAGUGCAAUGGUGUGACCACAGCUCACUGCAGCCUCAACCUCCUGGGCUCACUUAAGCAAUCCUCUCACUUCGGUCUCCUGAGUAGCUGGGCCUACAGGCAUGUACCACCACUCCCAGCAAGUUUUUAUUAUUUUUUGUGAAGACAGAGUCUUGCAGUAUUGCCCAAGCUGGACUUGAACUCCUGGCCUCAAGCAAUCCUCCCAUCUAGGCCUCCCGAAGUGCUAGGAUUACAGGCAUGAGCCACUGUGCCAAGCAACACUUGUACUUUUUAAGUGAAAAUGAUCCUGUAAAUAUAUAUAUGAAUAAAAU
rnacentral:antisense_RNA from 1 species